UACGUAGGGUGCAAGCGUUGUCCGGAGUUAUUGGGCGUAAAGAGCUCGUAGGCGGCUCGUCGCGUCAGCUGUGAAAACCCGCAGCUUAACUGUGGGCUUGCAGCUGAUACGGGCGGGCUAGAGUUCGGUAGGGGAGACUGGAAUUCCUGGUGUAGCGGUGAAAUGCGCAGAUAUCAGGAGGAACACCAAUUGCGAAGGCAGCUCGCUGGGACGUAACUGACGCUGAGACGCGAAAGCGUGGGGAGCAAACAGG
rnacentral:rRNA from 1 species